GCUCCCAUCGUCUAGCGGUUAGGACAUCAGAUUCUCAUUCUGGUAACACGGGUUCGAUUCCCGUUGGGAGUGCCA
rnacentral:tRNA from 1 species